rnacentral:SRP_RNA from 1 species
GCCAGGCAUGGUGGCUCACACCUACCGUCCCAGCUACUCAGGGGGCUGAGGUGGGAGGAUCACUUGAGCCCAGGAGUUCUGGGCUGCAGUGUACUAUGCAGGCAGAUCAGGUGUCUGCACUAAGUUUGGCAUCAAUAUGGUGAUAUCCUGGGAGUGGGGAACCACCAGGUUGCCUAAGGAGGGGUAAACUGACUUAGGUUGGAAAUGGAGCAGGACAAAACUCCUGUGCUGAUCGGUAAUGAGAUCACAUCUGUGAAUAGCCACUGUACCCCAGCCUGGGCAACAAGGCAAGACCCCAUCUUU